AGCGAACAAUCUGAAAAUGAAAGGUCGGUUUAUAAAUUAUGCAUGAUUAUACAAUAGAGGCAAGGGAGUAAGAAACAUGCUGAUAUGAUAAAUGGUACAACUCGGAGACUAGUAUAAUGAGAGAGAAAGGUAAUGCUAGCACAGGGUUGAUCAGACACUGUUAAACCGGAGCAUAAUUAUGAAGGUAACAUGCUCUUCCGGUUUAUCAGAGGGCUAAUGGCAUAGACUAUUUAUACAAUGUUAAACCGCUUAUAUUGGUGCGAGGAGGAACGGAUCUCACAGGAACAUAGAAACAGAUCUCACAGUGAUGUAUAAAACUUUCAGAUCUAAAGAUAAGACAGAAAAGCAAAAAUAAUUGGAUCUUGAAGGGGUGCAGAACUGAAGCAACUUUUGACAGACUAGAUCAGUUCUUUGCGCAUAAGGAUUUGUGAUGACCAUGGUAGGUAAGCUACGGCAAGAGAUGCAUCAAGCAUGAAGUGUCCAUCUAUUAAAGAAAGAACAGGGAAGAAUAGCACUGAUGAACUUCGGAAGAACUGCGAAGAAUGUCAAAACCCUAGAACAGAUCUAUGGUGAAAAAAGCAGAGAACUUACCGGAGCUCGUGAGGAAGCGGAAGGGCGCCGCAGUGUUCUGGUGCGUUCAGGGUGAUGCAGCAGCCAAGGUCGAAGCAGAGGCGACGGUCGACGGUGGCGGCGGAGCUCCAGAGGCUGAGCGGCGCGAGGAAGACGACGCGAAGAGGCACAGGGGGAAACGGUGAAAAUGACCCCUCGGUCCUAUUUAUAAGACGAAGUG
rnacentral:lncRNA from 1 species